rnacentral:tRNA from 1 species
GUGUCCAUAGCUUAGUGGUAGAGCUCCGCCCUGUGGAGGCGGCUACGAGGGUUCGAUUCCCUCUGGACACC